rnacentral:lncRNA from 1 species
GGAGAGGAGCAGAGAAAGGAGGCGGAGAGGAAGCUGGAAGAGCAACAGCGCCGGCACCGCGAGCACCCUAAAGUCAACGUGCCUGGCAGCCAAGCCCAGUUGAAGGAGGUGUGGGAGGAGCUGGAUGGACUGGACCCCAACAGGUUUAACCCCAAGACCUUCUUCAUACUGCAUGAUAUCAACAGUGAUGGUGUCCUGGAUGAGCAGGAGCUGGAGGCACUCUUCACCAAGGAGCUGGAGAAAGUGUACGACCCAAAGAAUGAGGAGGACGACAUGCGGGAGAUGGAGGAGGAGCGACUGCGCAUGCGGGAGCAUGUGAUGAAGAAUGUGAGGACCGCCUCGUGACCCUGGAGGAGUUCCUCGCAUCCACUCAGAGGAAGGAGUUUGGGGACACCGGGGAGGGCUGGGAGACAGUGGAGAUGCACCCUGCCUACACCGAGGAAGAGCUGAGGCGCUUUGAAGAGGAGCUGGCUGCCCGGGAGGCAGAGCUGAAUGCCAAGGCCCAGCGCCUCAGCCAGGAGACAGAGGCUCUAGGGCGGUCCCAGGGCCGCCUGGAGGCCCAGAAGAGAGAGCUGCAGCAGGCUGUGCUGCACAUGGAGCAGCGGAAGCAGCAGCAGCAGCAGCAGCAAGGCCACAAGGCCCCGGCUGCCCACCCUGAGGGGCAGCUCAAGUUCCACCCAGACACAGACGAUGUACCUGUCCCAGCUCCAGCCGGUGACCAGAAGGAGGUGGACACUUCAGAAAAGAAACUUCUCGAGCGGCUCCCUGAGGUUGAGGUGCCCCAGCAUCUGUGAUCCUCCGGGACCCCAGCCCUCAGGAUUCCUGAUGCUCCAAGGCGACUGAUGGGCGCUGGAUGAAGUGGCACAGUCAGCUUCCCUGGGGGCUGGUGUCAUGUUGGGCUCCUGGGGCGGGGGCACGGCCUGGCAUUUCACGCAUUGCUGCCACCCCAGGUCCACCUGUCUCCACUUUCACAGCCUCCAAGUCUGUGGCUCUUCCCUUCUGUCCUCCGAGGGGCUUGCCUUCUCUCGUGUCCAGUGAGGUGCUCAGUGAUCGGCUUAACUUAGAGAAGCCCGCCCCCUCCCCUUCUCCGUCUGUCCCAAGAGGGUCUGCUCUGAGCCUGCGUUCCUAGGUGGCUCGGCCUCAGCUGCCUGGGUUGUGGCCGCCCUAGCAUCCUGUAUGCCCACAGCUACUG